rnacentral:rRNA from 1 species
UACGUAGGUGACCAGCGUUGUCCGGAUUUACUGGGCGUAAAGAGCGCGCAGGCGGUCGUUCAAGUCGAGUGUGAAAGCCCCCGGCUCAACUGGGGAGGGUCAUUCGAUACUGAUCGACUUGAAGGCAGGAGAGGGAAGCGGAAUUCCCGGUGUAGUGGUGAAAUGCGUAGAUAUCGGGAGGAACACCUGUGGCGAAAGCGGCUCACUGGACCACAACUGACGCUGAGGCGCGAAAGCUAGGGGAGCAAACAGG